rnacentral:rRNA from 1 species
AUUGAACGCUGGCGGCAUGCCUUACACAUGCAAGUCGAACGGUAACAGGGAGCUUGCUCCGCUGACGAGUGGCGAACGGGUGAGUAAUGUAUCGGAACGUACCUUUUAGUGGGGGAUAACGCAGCGAAAGUUACGCUAAUACCGCAUAUUAUCUGAGGAGGAAAGCAGGGGACCUUCGGGCCUUGCUCUACUAGAGCGGCUGAUAUCAGAUUAGCUAGUUGUGGAGGUAAAGGCUCACCCAGCCGACGAUCUGUAGCGGGUCUGAGAGGAUGAUCCGCCACACUGGAACUGAGACACGGUCCAGACUCCUACGGGAGGCAGCGGUGGGGAAUUUUGGACAAUGGGGGCAACCCUGAUCCAGCCAUGCCGCGUGAAUGAAGAAGGCCUUCGGGUUGUAAAGCUCUUUCGGCCGGGAAAAAAUCGCAUGGGUUAAUACCCUGUGUGGAUGAUGGUACCGGAAUAAGAAGCACCGGCUAACUACGUGCCAGCCGCCGCCGUAA